CCCGCUGAACUUAAGCAUAUCAAUAAGCGGAGGAAAAGAAACUAACAAGGAUUCCCCUAGUAACGGCGAGUGAAGCGGGAAGAGCUCAAAUUUAAAAUCUGGUUUGCUUGCAAAUCCGAGUUGUAGUCUGAAGAAACGUUUUCCAUGAAAGCUGAGGCACAAGUCCUUUGGAACAGGGCAUCAUAGAGGGUGAGAAUCCCGUCCAUGGCCUCAAGUCUUUUAUUUUGUGAUACGUUUUCUAAGAGUCAGGUUGUUUGGGAAUGCAGCCUAAAAUGGGUGGUAAAUUUCAUCUAAAGCUAAAUAUUGGCGAGAGACCGAUAGCGAACAAGUACCGUGAGGGAAAGAUGAAAAGAACUUUGAAAAGAGGGUUAAAUAGCACGUGAAAUUGUUGAAAGGGAAGCGUUUAUGACCAGACUUUUUCUAGGCGGAUCAUCCGGUGUUCUCACCGGUGCACUUUGCCUAGUUGAGGCCAGCAUCGGUUUCUAUAGAGGGAUAAAAACAGUGGGAAUGUGGCUCCUCCGGGAGUGUUAUAGCCCAUUGUAUAAUACCUUUACGGGGACCGAGGUUCGCGCUCUGCAAGGAUGCUGGCGUAAUGGUCAUCAACGACCCGUCUUGAAACACGG
rnacentral:rRNA from 1 species